CCUAGGUGGGCUUUAGAAGCAUUUGUGAUUGCAAAUGCUGAAAGGUAUUCUGGAGUAUGGCUGAUAACGCGGUGCGGGUCGCUUUUGAAAAGUGGCUA